rnacentral:lncRNA from 1 species
UAGGUGCAGUUAUCUUAUAAUUCAAUCUUUCUAUCAUGAGUCCUGACUUGACGGAGGUCAUGGAGAACUCAUCAAACCCCAUCAUCAGUUAUAUGCUAGAUUUGCUCGAUUCGAGUUCAUUUGUGAAUCACAUAGAAACUCUUUUUCAGUAUUCAUACUUAUUUUGGCCAAAGACUUCUGAACUCAAUCUCAUAAAUUGUAUAGAAUUUUUUCUUUUCUACUAAGGUCAAUAGAUUCCAUCUAGGUGCAUCCUACUCCAAAUAGUGAAUCUGAACCUACUGAAGCCAACAUACACAGCAAGGAUCCGAAUGGCUAGGGACCAAGGGAACAUGCAGUAAACUCAGUAACCUCGCUACGGAUAGCCAAUGACACCGUAGAUCAAAAUACCACUCAUCCCACUGCAGCAUUGAGAAAACCACUGAUGAGUAAACAUCAAUGUGAUUUUUCAUGUUGGUCAUGCUCAGUGCAAGUUAUUCUCUAAUAGCC